CAAAGGCCUGGUCCUGACUUUAAUAUCGAUUCUGACCUAAAUUACACAUGCAAGUACCCGCACCCCCGUGAGAAUGCCCCCCAUACCCUAUUUAGGGAAAGAGGAGCAGACAUCAGGCGCACCCCCCACGUUGCCCAAAACGUCUUGUUUAGCCACACCCACAAGGGAAUUCAGCAGUGAUUAACCUUAAGCAAUAAGCGCAAGCUUGACUUAGUUAAGGUCAAUAAGGGCCGGUAAACCUCGUGCCAGCCACCGCGGUUAUACGGGGGGCCCAAACUGAUAUUCAACGGCGUAAAGCGUGAUUAAGGAAAAUUAAAAACUAAAGAAGAAGGUCCCCCAAGCUGUUAUACGCUAACGGGAUGACUGAACCCCCACAACGAAAGUGACUUUAAAACUCUUGAACCCACGAAUAUUAAGGAACAAACUGGGAUUAGAUACCCCACUAUGCUUAAUUGUAAACAAUGGCGGGACACUACAAAACCCGUCCGCCAGGGGACUACGAGCACUAGCUUAAAACCCAAAGGACUUGGCGGUGCCUCAAACCCACCUAGAGGAGCCUGUUCUAUAAUCGACAACCCCCGUUAAACCUCACCACCCCUUGCCAAAAUCAGCCUAUAUACCGCCGUCGCCAGCUUACCCCAUGAGGGUAUAAUAGUAAGCUAAAUGGUUAAUACCACAAACGUCAGGUCGAGGUGUAGCUAAUGGAGUGGGAAGAAAUGGGCUACAUUUUCUGACGCAGAAUAUUACGAAAAGUGUAAUGAAAAAUACACGACUGAAGGUGGAUUUAGCAGUAAAAAGAAAACAGAGUGUUCUUUUGAAGCCGGCUCUGAGGCGCGUACACACCGCCCGUCACUCUCCUCUAAACAUUAUCAUAAAAAUAAAUAAUAAAACAAAUUACCCGCCAGAGGAGGCAAGUCGUAACAUGGUAAGUGUACCGGAAGGUGCACUUGGAAAAAUU
rnacentral:ncRNA from 1 species